CUGUUUCUUGAUGGCAAAACUUACAUGUAGAUUUUUUAGUGCUAUCAGUGAUUUCUGGAGAGAAAACUUUUUUCUUUUAAUAAAAUGCUAUACAUUUAUACAUUUACCUUAACUGUUGCAUAAAUAAUCAUAUUGAUUACAUUGGUAUCAGCAAAAAACUUUUUAAAAAAUUAAUUGAACUUUCUAAUGUCAAGUUUGUACAAAAAUAUAACCUGAAGAUAGAAACCAUUCUCUAUGGUUUCAAACUGUAUUUAAUGUACCUAUUUUAACUGUCGUCUGCUAAUGAGAACUUUCUUGUGAGACAUAAGUUGUAUAUAGCUAGUAUAUGAAAGUUGAAGUGUAGCAUUUUAUUGAGAUGUCAGACCCCAGGACCUCUGAAAUCCAGAUUAUGUGCAAUAAUUUUAUUUAUGUAAAUAUGUUUUCUUUUCUUAGAUACAAGCAAAUUUCUUUCAUGUUGUGUCAAAAAUAAUUGUUCAGUGUAGGCAUAUAUUGAAAAUUUAAAAUACAUACAGUGUGAUUCAAAAGAGCUAGAUGCAUUAAGAUUAAUUUGUUUUCUAUUAAAGUUA
rnacentral:lncRNA from 1 species